rnacentral:rRNA from 1 species
UGCAAGUCGAACGAAGUAGCAAUACUUAGUGGCAGACGGGUGAGUAACAUGUGGGUAUCUUCCCUUUGGUGAGGAAUAACACGAGGAAACUUGUGCUAAUACUUCAUAAGUCUUUACAGAGAAAGCUUUAUGCGCCGAUGGAUGAGCCUGCACUUGAUUAGUUAGUUGGUGGGGUAAUGGCCUACCAAGACUUUGAUCAAUAGCUGAUCUGAGAGGAUGAUCAGCCACAUUGGGACUGAGAUACGGCCCAAACUCCUACGGGAGGCAGCAGUAGGGAAUAUUGCACAAUGGAGGAAACUCUGAUGCAGCGAUGCCGCGUGAGUGAAGAAGGCCCUUGGGUUGUAAAGCUCUUUCGUCGGGGAAGAAAAUGACUGUACCCGAACAAGAAGGUCCGGCUAACUUCGUGCCAGCAGCCGCGGUAAUACGAAGGGACCUAGCGUAGUUCGGAAUUACUGGGCUUAAAGAGUUCGUAGGUGGUUAAAAAAGUUGGUUGUGAAAUCCCGGAGCUUAACUCCGGAACUGCAAUCAAAACUUUUUAGCUAGAGUGUGAUAGAGGAAAGCAGAAUUUCUAGUGUAGAGGUGAAAUUCGUAGAUAUUAGAAAGAAUACCAAUUGCGAAGGCAGCUUUCUGGAUCACUACUGACGCUGAGGAACGAAAGCAUGGGUAGCGAAGAGGAUUAGAUACCCUCGUAGUCCAUGCCGUAAACGAUGUGUGUUAGACGUUGGAAAUUUAUUUUCAGUGUCGCAGCGAAAGCAGUAAACACACCGCCUGGGGAGUACGACCGCAAGGUUAAAACUCAAAUGAAUUGACGGGGACCCGCACAAGUAGUGGAGCAUGUGGUUUAAUUCGAAGAUACGCGCAGAACCUUACCAACACUUGACAUGUUCGUCGCAACUCUAAGAGAUUAGAGUUUUC